UAAAGAAACGUCCCCAAAACGGGUGCGAGGGGCUCCCCCUCCCGAGCAAACUUCGGCCCUCACCAGCAGCCGCCGCUUCCGUUCUCCCGUUCCGGGCAGCCUCAGGCCGGCCAAUCCCGUUUGCACCGGGGACAACGGCUGCGAUUUCUGUACCCGCAUCACGCGAGCACAGCGAGGACGGAGAACCGGAGCAUUAACGACGGGGAACCAGGGCACCCUCCCGGUGCGGGAGGCCGGUACCGAAGCGUUCCCCAGCGGAUGGGAGGCCAAGACACGCAAACACCGGGAAACGGACGUGGAACUUUCCGCCUCCAGUGAAACUGCUGUGGAGUAAUAGAGGAAGUGUCCAAAGCAAGCAACAACUUCCUUGGAAAGGCAUCAGGGCAGGAGCGAGAAUGGGUUGAAGACAGGAGAGACAGCACAAGGCGUGGAAGAAAGGGACAGAGCAAAGAGAGAAACCCUGCAAGUCCCAGAGGUGUGAACAUUCAACCCCUCCUCCUUCAUCUCCACCAGCUGGAAACAACCAGAAAUCCACAGGUCCCAAAGCACUCAGGAAGAGAAACCUCACUGAAGAAUUCCAGGCAACCUGCCUUCAUUCCCAAUGGGUGCCAGCCAUCACUCAGACAAGCUCCAUUAAAGGUCUGUGACUUUCUUCCUCCUCCUUGCACUGAGCAGUUGCUAUUUACCUUGGUGAA